rnacentral:rRNA from 1 species
AACGAACGCUGGCGGCAUGCCUAACACAUGCAAGUCGAACGAGACCUUCGGGUCUAGUGGCGCACGGGUGCGUAACGCGUGGGAACCUGCCCUUAGGUUCGGAAUAACUCCCCGAAAGGGGUGCUAAUAACGGAUAAUGUCUUCGGACCAAAGAUUUAUCGCCUUUGGAUGGGCCCGCGUUGGAUUAGCUAGUUGGUAGGGUAAAAGCCUACCAAGGCGACGAUCCAUAGCUGGUCUGAGAGGAUGAUCAGCCACACUGGGACUGAGACACGGCCCAGACUCCUACGGGACGCAGCAGUGGGGAAUAUUGGACAAUGGGCGAAAGCCUGAUCCAGCAAUGCCGCGUGAGUGAUGAAGGCCUUAGGGUUGUAAAGCUCUUUUACCCGGGAUGAUAAUGACAGUACCGGGAGAAUAAGCUCCGGCUAACUCCGUG